rnacentral:tRNA from 1 species
AGUACAAUAGCUCAAUGGCAGAGCAAACGACUGAUAAUCGUUCGACCAGGGUCCGAUUCCCGUUGUACUACCA